CGCCAAGGCUGGGAAGAGGGAGGGAGGCGGUUGCGACACCUCCCCUCUGACCUCCUCCCGACCGAGGAGCGCCGGCGCUGGGCGUAGCAGCCGAGCCCGGGCGCGCGGGAACGAGGAAGUGCCGGGCUGGGAACACACCGCGGCUGGAACGUCCAGCUGGGCCGGAAGGUGGUCGUCUAGAAAGGGAUUUCACGUCCACCGGCAGAUAAUCCCAGUGACUUCCUAAUGGGAUGGUGCACCUGUUGAGCUCUACAAAACUGGGAAUGAGAUUGGGCACUGCCACCCACAUUUCCUGCUCCACAGUGAUUUUCAUGUAUCUGCUUUUAAUCACAAUGAACCCUGAGCACCCAGCUUUAUGUGGAGACAGAGCAUAGAGAUGACAUGGACUUUCCCUGAGGUUCUGGGAACUGAGAUCUGAAACCAGGCCACCUGGCUCCUGGCCAAGUGCUUAAUCUCCAUGGUGAACCUGUUGACUCAGAAUCACAAGAAAACUGAGGCCUGGACAGGAGGCAGGGCUCAAGCAGUGGUCCCUACAGCUUGGUAAAAAAACACACCACCCAUUUUCUUAGUGGCUCUAGUCUUCCUGGCCAAACUGGGAAUUUGCAGGAGCAUUUCCAAUGCAUUUCUUUCCUGCUUUACUUGCUCAGAAUUAGCUCCUUUUGCCUGUCACCAAGACGCCUGAUCAAUGGAAGACCCAUUCUCUCCAAACCCUGUUGUUUUAAAGAUGGUCUUAUUUAAACGUCAGCCAGAUCGCCGCCAAGACAGGAGCUUAAACUCAUAAAAGGGAUCUUAGCGAUCACUUUGUCCCGUUUUUCCAAAGACAGGUGCAAUCAAAGCCUUUGAAUACAAAUUUUUAAACUCAGAAUGGAAAUCGGUAUAGGGCUGGUCCAUUUCUACUUCAGGGGCAGCUUUUCUCUGUGGUCUCCUCUUGUCCAGGAGUCACACUGACCAGCCUAAUACAGGAAGCAGUCCACUCAACACAUGGCAACAGCGCUUGCACCACACGCCAGACACCAGCCCCAGCCCUCGAUACGCAAAGACAGGAGGCUAGUGACGCCAGCACAAGCCCAGUGAGCUCUCUUCAGUCCAAGAUGUGGCUUCAUCGAAAUCCUGCCUGUCCCGGGGAGACCACGGGCGAAGGUCUUACACAGUGUGUUGCAUGAUUCCUCUUGCAUCACUUUUUUUCUACUUUAUUGGUUCUAUGUUUCUGAUUACAAAACAGGAAGAUUUGGAAAAUGCAAGAAAUAACUCAGAGAAAAUAAACAUAACCGUUAUUCUUCCAUCAGA